rnacentral:lncRNA from 1 species
AGAUGAAAGUCAAUAUAUGAAGCAGACUUGAAUGUAUAUAUUGUAUCUGUUAUUGUCAUCUAAAUGGGAGAGAUGCCUUCAACAUAGUCCACAAAUGUUGAGUUUUUUUUUGGAGAAGAUAACAUGUUUUAGCGGACAGCAAAGUAAGUGAAUGAUUUUUACUUCUUUACAUUUUUUUAAAGCUUUUGUAUUAGGUCCGCCUCAUCAGAAUAAAUAGUCUCUUGCUCAAACAAAACGAAAAUGAAACAUAAGUUACAAACGAUAUAUCAAAUGUCUAACCUAAUGAUACAACACAACGAAUUUUUCGUACUUUGCAUACAGAGUCUUUUAGUAAAAUAUCAAUAAUAUGAUACAAUAAAACAGCGUUAGAGUAAAUCUAAUGUUUAACAAUGGUUAUAGCUAGAUGACUUUUGUGAAUAAACCUGUGUGAUAAUCUUUUUUUCUUUUUAAAAAUUUAAUCAAUACCCAAAGUGCAGGCAACAGUUUGCUAAUAUAAUAGAAUGUAAUUGUACUAAUAGGAUACACUUUCACCAAAAGAUAGCAAAGCGAGAACAAAAUUCAUAAUACACAUAAAAAACAAAAGUUUUUUCAAGGUCAACCUUUCGUGAGUUUUGUAACCCGAAUUAGCACACACUCUAAUACUUAUACAUGUAUGAUGUACAUAGUGAAAAAAAUGUAAUCUCAAUAACAAACAAAAAAUUUAAUCUACAGAUAUAUUUUUUGUAUAAAUGAUUAUACGAAAAGGAAUAAAUCAUAGGAUGGAUUGAUAGAAAAGGGGACAUACGAUAAUAAACAGAAACCAGGUUAAUCAGCUAUGUGAUACAGAUAAUUCAUUUAUGACUUGAUGAAUAUUUACAACAUUAUUCUAUAUAUUUAUAGAAUUAUCUCCCCUGGCUUACAAACAUUAAAUCAUGUGACCAUUUACCUUCCUUUUCCACAGAAAUGUUCUAUUUAUAAGACUAAAUUAGGUAUGUAAUUUUAUCAUUUUAUCUCUAUAUUAUACAGUCACAUUAUACACAGACAUCCAUACACACACAUAAUAUACUUUAACUGUGGAGUAGGCUUUUUUUUAAUACUUUUUUAUUUUAUUUUGAUCAACUUUCGUUUCAGUUGUUUUGUGAGAUAUGUUAGAACACGUUGAAUGUCUUACUAAUUAUGCCUAUUUCAACUUUGUUUUUAUUGUGUGCCUUCAUUUUUUGUGGAAGUUUUGUCUUUACUGUUUCCGCGUAAUGCGUUGUUGGGGACAUAGAAAUAUUGGGCGUCCUUAAAUACCGUCUUUCCGUCCACACGUCUGUCCGUCCGGUCUUGUUUAAUAGCGCGCUCUUACUAAUAUCUACAAUUCUUGCCAUUUUUUUUUAUAAAACUUAUAACAUAGGUUUACAUCAACAAUGUAUUCGACUAUAUAGUUCGAUAAGCAGUUCUGAUCAUGUAUUUAUAAAAGAGAUAUAAUGUAAAUAAGCCAUUUAGAAUCAUUAAUUGGAACAUCGCAUUGUCAGCGCAAUCAUUUGUACAAUUUGUGACAGAAUUUUAUAAAACUUAUACAAUAGGUUGUAUUAUUAAAAUCUAAUACGAGUGCGAAAAGCAAUGCCAAUCAAUAUUUUUUAAUAGACGUGUUACGAAAUUGUAUAUACUCGACGCUUGAGGUUGACAAAAUAGACUUUAAAUGCCGGUAUCGGAUCAAAGCAAACAAGUUAUUUAAAGAUUUUAAUUACCUGUGUACCAAUUGAUUCAUUGUGUUAAACUGCAUAGUAAUGAUGUCCGCUUAUAUUUUCUUCAAUAACAAACGUCUUUUUAAAAACUUUAUCACAGCUAAUUUCCUGUUGAAUAUUCCUUUAGGAACAAAUAUGAUACAAUAAUUCUUCCGUGAAGAAUACAAAUGAUAUACCCCGCUUAACUUUUGAAAAAAGGAGGAACGGGGGUGGGGGGCUAUAUAUUUUUUUAUUCACCUAGGAACAGUGUAUCCAAUUUCACUUUAUAUGGAAUACAUUUCCUUGGAUUUUUUGACUAGUAUAUACUACUCUGUUUGAUACCUACUAAGAAAAAGAUUGAUUUCUUUUAUAUUAUUUUCAUGUAAAAUGUGACCUGUUUGACCCAACAACACCUUAUAUAUAUUCCUGCAAAGUUUCGAAAUAUUCCGUUUUGUAGUUUCUGGGGUACGAGUUAUGCCCCAUGGGAGAAAAAUUAUAACGGAAAAUUGCACUACAUUUUCUUUGAAGCAUUCAACUAUUUAAGAUUAUUAUAGAAAAGUUUUUACAAGGACAAUAACCAAAAAAAAACGUUUUUUGUAAUUGUCCUUGUACCUUAACAGAUAAGAAAAACCUUUCAACGCGGAGGACAUGUUAUGUAUGCCAUUUUCUGAACAUUAGCCUGUAAAAAUAUAUAAUGAUAUUGAAUUUAAAUGAAACUUGAACUUUAUACUAAUAUUAAAGGCCUUAAAGAUAAAAUUAAAUUAUAACCUUUAAAGUCAUGAAAGUUGUAGAUGGUGAAUUUCACUCCUUCUUACAUUGCGAAAUAAAUAAACAUGUAAGAAAUAAUAACUUCUCUGCAAAUGCUUUUCAAAAUACUGACUUUAUGUGUUGCACUAACAAACAAAAACUACAAUACAUACUCAUCAUGAUCAAUCAAUAAAAAAAUUCAACACAUUUUAGGCUCGUUUUUAAACUGAGGACAGGGCUUGGUUUACCGAUGCAUGGUUUUAAAGUUUUGUGGUUUAUUGAUAUGCUGUAAUUUGUAUUUUAGAUUUUUCACUAUAUUACAUGUAUAUACUUGCAACAAUAGAUAUAUACAUAUAUAUUAUAUGUAUUUGGAUAUGUUAGGGUUUUUUUCAGUUUGUCACAAACACGUUUAAUUUGUUGAAAUAUAUAUGACAAUAAAGAUUAUUAUUAUUUAUUUUAUCAACGCCUGACUUUUAAUUAUUCAGGUUUUUUUUACCCUAACCAUGGAAGUGAAAUAACUAAAGAGGUUAUAUGACCUCAUUGCCCUAACUCGAUGUAAAUUAAAUCUGGCAGAUAUUUUCACAUCCGCAAGAACAAAUGUUUCGUAGUAGGGUGCAUUUUCUGACAAAGGAUCAAAGGACGCCAAUAGUACUUUAUUAUAAAGCUUUCAUCACAAUAAGAUCGUGGCGUUCCUGAUCAAUUAACUUAAUGGGACGUGUUAAACUAUUAUGUAUGAUAAUUUGAACUCUGACUUUAUAGUCGAUCGUUUAUCUACAAAUUUAGAAAAUCGACAUAUAAUCUAAACAAUGUAAAGUUCUUUUUAUAUAUUUACAAAUGUAGACGGGUGUUUAAAUAAUAAAUAACAAAUGUAUAUUCCAUACAGUUUUUCUCUUUCUUUUAUUUAUUUUUGCACCAUGCAUGAAUAGACUAAAAGAAAAUAUGUCUACUUAGCUAAAAAGCUGCUAAGAAAGGCGAUGUAAAAACAUAUAAAUUAUAUUCUAAAAUACAUUUUAUAAUAUCAUAACGUAUUCUAUAGUAAACAUGUUUAGACAAGGAAUCUACAUUUUUUGUAUUGAUCCUUUAUAAAAUUAUUAAGAAAAUAAUGCAUAAUGGAUAUUUUACUAUUUAUCAAAAGAUAUUUAUCAGAGAUAUUUACUAGAAUAAUUAAAUCCUGAAUAAAUCCUUGCUGAACCAUUAUGUAUAUGCGAACAUAAACAUUCGUCUGAUAACAUGUAAGAGAUGUAUAACGAAUCAGAUGUGGAUACAAAAUAUUCCAUAGACUUGUAAGAGAUUUUUUUUCCUCUUGUAAUCCUAUAAAGAUUUUAUACUUAUAUUUAAAAUUUUAAAUCAAAAUUAUUUGUCCAAUUUUGUUUUAUAAAAAAGAAAGCAAAGUUUAACGUAGAUACAUUUAUCUGGUUCCAGGGAGGAACAAAUUAUACUUGGUGAUAGACCCCAAGGGUUAACUGGGAUUUAGAUAUAUUGUCCUCUUUGGUACUAAUGGUUCCAGUAGUAAAAUCCUUGUGCUAUUGCGGCUUCCAUUAUGGUUGUUUGGGAUACAUAAAUAUAGGUAGUCGUGCCCCUUCGGAAUUAGGACAGGAACUUGAUGUUCAGUGCAUGGUUAUCAUUUGUUGGGGUGGUUAUUUUUAAAAGAUUAGACCGUUGGUUUCCCGUUUAAACGGGUUUUCACUACUUAUUUUUGGGGCCCUUGUUGAAGACCGUACUUUGACCUAUUAUGGUUUACUUUUACAAAUUGUGACUUGGAUGGCGAGUUGUCUCAUUGGCAGUCAUACUUCAUCUUCUUAUAUCUAUGUAAUCCGGUGCUUUGUGUAACACCGGUGUUGCUGCUUGCACGUUAAAGAAGGAGUCUGUACGUAACAUGCCCUUAUUUUCCAAUGACAGUCCAACAUUCCCGUCCGCCUUCCCUGCAGACCAGAACCUUGCAUAUCCUAACGUUACUCAUGGUCAUCGUCCUAAACACACACGAAUUUGUCACUGAACAUUUAGUAAUGAACAAUUUAUCAACGUUAUAUAAAAAAAUCUCUUUAUAUUCAUACAGAAAUUCUCUGAAGCUGCUUUUUUCAAGAUGAUUGGUAAAUUUUAUUGACUACACAUCUGUUAGUUUGGGUGAAAACUUUUCGACAAGGAAUCGGCAUUACUGUAUAUGGAAAUUAACUGGGUUUAUGCUCGUAGACUAUUUCAUUAUUCAUACGAGUCACAUUUCCUUCGGAACAUUCGAAUUAUAUUAACAGUCCGAUAUGUAGAUGAUGUCCUCUCGCUAAAUAGUUCAAUGAUGGUGAGUCCGUCGAAUGUCUCGAUCUAUCGUAUCGAACAUGAAAGGAUACCACUGUAUAGUUAAGUUUGUCUCUCACCUUGACUUAUACAUCUAGAAAUUGACCUUGAAUGAGAUAUAACGAGUCCAGAACCAAUCCUAUAUAUACCAAUACAUAUUCUUAGUAUUUGACUUUUCAUUUCUUUGAAAAAGAUCUUAGCAGCUCUUGUGUAUAGCUUGUAUAGCUCCAUUUGAUACAAUAUUCCGGAGCUUGUAUGUCCUCACACAAUUUCUGUGAUACUAUUGAUGUUUGACUAAGGUCCAGGACAAAUGUGUCAUGCAUUAUCAGGAUGAGACAAAUUAAAAGUAAAUCUAUACAAUAGUUAGUCAAAAAACUAGACCAAAAACACGAAAAUAAACUUAGCAAGAGAAGCAGACGGCAGAAUAAUAUUCGAAAGGUUGGAGCAGUUUCUUCAAGGAAAAAACCAGAAGUCGUGCCAAGACAUGAAUGGGUGUUUAGAUAGUAAAAGUCAUUGAUUAAAAUGUAUAUUUUGUAGGAAUGCAGUAAUUGCUACAUGUAAUUGUUAUUAAUUUUUACAUAAUUAAAUGUCCAAAGCUACAAAAACAAAAAAAAACGCUGGUAAUUUUCAAUUAUUAUGUUAACAUAUUUCAGUCAUCACGAAAUCAAAUGGAUGCGAACAAUUAUACAAAAAAUACACCCUCAUGUCAGCAUACCGUCUUCAACAACAACAAGCGGGUCGUAGGAGGAUGUUUUGAUACAAAUAGUUAAUUUAAAGUGCUUCUUGAAACAACAAUACUGUAGUAAUAGGCAAAAUUAUAAAUAACAUAUCAUUGGCAAAACAAAAUUAUAACCUUUUUGAUUUGAAACCUAACAUCACGGACGUUGUUUUUGUUUAAUAUAUGAUGUGCUCCUGCGUAAACAAGAAGUUUAUUGUAUUUGCACACACACAGUAUUAAAUUGUUUAAGACAAAAUGGAAAUUCUUCGAAAUAGUAAGAAACUUCGGAUAAAUUAAAUUUCAAUAUUUUUAAUGUUUCUUUUGUGCGUGAUUAUACAAUAUAUGAAAAAGCCAUGUAGUAGUAAUAAAAGUGAAUCUGCUAUCCUUAUGUAAGCAAUUAUACAAUGCAUGUAGACAACAGCUGAUUUUACAUUAAAAAUCCUUGUCUUUGUGAAACUCUUCAUUGUGUAUUUUUGCUCAUUGGUGUCCAAGCAAGCAUAAUCAAAUAUAAUAUUUUAAACAUAUACACAUGCAUGUACGUGACUAGGGACACAUAAUAUUAUGUGAUUGAACAAUAAAAGGGAAACAACUCUUGUUAGAAUAAGAACAAUUUUCGUAUCUUUAAAAAAAAUGAAGAAAUUUUUUAAGUUUAAUGAAGGUAUGUUUAAAGUGCAGACAUAGAUAAACAGAAUUUUGCUUUAAUUGUAACCUUAUUUAAACGUUACAAACUCAUAUAAACGAAUGAUUUACACUAAUUAGUUUACAAGUUAUGUCAGUUGAAAAGUGAUAAGAUGGAUAUUUUGAAUAUAAUUAUAUAUGUGAAGAUUAAGAGUGAAGUAAUUAGCAAUUACAAAAAAUCAAAAUAAAUCAAAAGAAGAGAAUAAACAACAUUCACUUUGGGAUAUCGGGUGUUGUAAUGAAAUAAAAUAUAAUUACGGUACAGCAGCGGGAUAUUUAGAAGGUUUUUGUUUUAACAUGUUUAACUUAAAUUUUUAUAAAUACGUUCAUAAUUAUUUAGAUUCUUAUAAAAACAUAGUAUGAUAAUUUUCGUAUAAUUAUUAUUUUUUAUAAGAACGGGGUAACCGGUUGCAUAUAAUUGGGUGCUUUUUAAACCCUCCAAAUUACGUUGGAUUUCAUUAUUCAGCUCAAACUUUUGUAUUCAAAGGGAACUAACUCUUUCUAUUAAAACAAUUGUUAGUUUAAAAUUAGGAUCAAUUAGGUCAUAAAAUAGAAUCCACCACAACAGGAACAUAUAUAUGUUAGAUAUACUGUUCCCAAACCACAACAAUAGGAUUCUUCAAAUAUCGUAAUAUUUAUUAUAUUUAAAUGUUAUGUUUUAUGUAUGUUUUAUUGUUCCUUAAAACCGCUCAGUAUAACAAAAAAAUCAAAAACGCACAAAAUUAGAGUUUUUUAAUUCAAUAUGUAUGCAGAUAUUGUUCUUGUUUUCAAAUUAUUAUAGAAAGGAAUGUUAGAUCUUUGAUAUGUCAUGUAUUUGUAAAUUGAAAAUAAAGAAUAAAUUUAGUUAAUACGUUAUACAAUUGUGUUUUUUUAUUCAGGUUUUCGCUUUAGUCAGGCAAAGUGAAUUCCCCAUUACAGACAGCUUGUUUCUCUCACUGUAAUUAUCUCAUAUUUUGAGGCAAUCAUGAGUCUUUGAUUCGAAUUAUUGGUUGAGGCAACUUAGAGUGCACAAUUAUGGCUUCAUUUGUAAUACUGGCGAAUUUUUCCAUAAACAAAUAUGUCAUGCAUUAUGAUAGAGUUUGUAAGAACUGUUAUUGGUGAUAUAUUGAUGAAAACUGUUUUCUGUAGUGCAUUUGCAGAUCAAUUGGCAUAUAUUUAGUGCAACAAACACGAAUAAUACACAUAUUUGUUUAUAGCAUAUGGAGUCAAAAUGAGUUUCAAUUUGAAGUAAAUCUAGUUAUAUCACACAUUAAAUCUUUAAACUUGGAGUUGAAUCUGAUUUCAAUUUGCAUUAAAUGAAAGUUUAUUGUUGUAUUAAAUUUGCAACUCGAUGUUUAAUCAGAAUUAAAACCACAGUAAACAGCUUUCUGUUUGGAAUAUCUUUGACUUUAAUGUGUAGUAAAUCAUGUUAUACAGGUAUCCUCUACAUUAAAUUUGAAGUUGUAUGUCUAUUAAACUUCAAUAAAUUUGAAAAAUACUGGACAGUAAAUCAGUUGUCGAUUCGUGAACUUACUGCAUCCAGUAAACCAUUUGUAAACUACUAUUAAAUAUUGCGUUUACUUGACCAAUAAACUACCAGGAAAAUAAUAAACUCGGAACUUACAACUGAUUUUCAAGUAGUUUAUUGAUUCCUUAAACUAAUCAUUUCAUGCAGUGUCAACUUUGUUCUUGUUUGGUUUUAUAAGUUUUUUAUAUGAGCGUCACUGAUGAGUCUUAUGUAGACGAAACGCGCGUCUGGCGUAUGCAACUAUAAUUCUGGUACCUUUGAUAACUAUUUACACCAGUGAGUCGAUGCCACUGCUGGUGGACGUUUUGUCCCCGAUGGUAUCACUACCCCAGUAGUCAGCACUUCGGUGUUGACAUGGAUAUCAAUGAUAUGGUCAUUUUUAUAAAUUUCCUGGUACAAAACUUUGAAUUUUUCGAAAAACUAAGGCUUCUCCUAUCCCAGGAAUGGAUUAUCUUAGCCGUUUUUUGCACAACUUUUUGAAUUUUGGGUCCACAAUGCUCUUUAACUUUGUAUUUGUUUGGCUUUUUAACUUUAUUUAUCUGAGUGUCACUGAUGAGUCUUAUGUAGACGAAACGCGCGUCUGGCGUAUGAAAUUAUAAUCCUGGUACCUUUGAUAAAUAUUUCAGGAUGAUCCUUGUACAACCGAUCGUAUGAACCGUCAACUAAGCAGUAUAUGUGAAACAUCAGAUUAUUAUCUACAGUGUACUUGUCUUUUGUUUGCUAGUAUAGCUAUGCCAUCUCAAAGUGUGUUGUGUUUUAAGACUAUUUAUUUUUAGACAUUUAUAAAUCCAGUAAUCUGUGACUUCGUUCGUACAUGUAUCAUGUAAGAACAAUUUUUGUAUGUGCCGGUUUAUAUGAAUAUUUCGUAGUGAUAUUUAGUUAUGGGCACAUUUCGCUGCGUUUCCUUUAAAUAUGCGUCAUUUGGCGUCAUAUUUCAUUUAGCAUCCAGAACAUUGUUAUUGUGGGUCUUUGUAUCCCAAAACCACCACACAAAAAUUUACGCAUCUUUGUUUCCCAGGAUUCAUUUAAUUGGAAGCUUCAUUUAUUGUAAAUAAUUAGUUAUUUAUCUAGUAAGUUAUCUAGUAAUCGUAGUAAUCAUUUUGUAGUCUGCCAAUAUGAAAAGUGACUACGUUUAAUUAAUUAUCUAUUUACUGUAUAUAUAUAUAUCUUUAUUGUUUAUCUAUCUAGUUAUCUAGUUAUUAUGUCGUAGUUUGCCAAUAUGAAAGUUGACUACGGUCAUUCAAAUAUCUAUUUUCUAUUUAUAUAUAUAUAUCUUAUCUAGUUAUAUGUGUUUAUAAUUUUAUUAUAAAGCUGUGGCCAAAUACUGCAAAUACGGAGUUUCUACUCAUUGUGCAACAAUAAUAAAGCCUCUUUCUUAAAUAUUGUGUUUGCAAUUAAAAAUGAUUCUAAUAUUUUUAUUCUUUUUAUUUCUACUAAGAAUGACCAUAAUCAAACUGUUUCUUAGGGAAACUUUGCCCGAGGGAGAUGAAACAGGAGUAUCUUUAUAAUUUAUAUAUAAACAUGAUAAACAGCCUGUUUUAAAUGAUUGAUUGAUGGUUUGCAGUGGCAAAUAUUUCACGUAUGUUCAGAACGAUAACAAAUUAACAACAAAUACAAUAGGUAGGUUCUGUAAUAGAGUCCGUUCAGGAUGAAGGUCAGCAAAUUUAGAUCGCAACUGGGAAAUGAGGGUAUAUUGGAUAAGGGCAGAAAUUUUAAAAUCAACGAACCACUCAAAGAGUUGUUGUAACGUUUCGUAACGUGCACAGAUCAUGGCACUCUCUCUACACGUCCAAUUCUGACUGGAUGUGGCUGCGUACUUGUAUUUUACUCAAAGUUGAUUGUCUCACGAUAACUUACAAAAGUGCAAUAAAAAAAUACGAAACUAUCCCUUAUUUCAAAAAUCGAAUAUUCCGUUUCCUCUUAUUCGCUAUUUAAAUAUAGCAGUAAUCACAAAGUCAACAAGUAAUUUCUGCAUAUUGUUCAUUUUGUUGAAGCAUCAAAGUGUGUCAAAAUCAGGUCUUACUAAAAAUAAAUUAGACUUAAAGAAACAUAUUUCUCUUUUUUUAUCCUGUAGAUCAAGCAAAAGAGGGGCGAAAGAUAACACAGGGACAUUAAAACUCAUAUGUCAAAAAUAAACAGACAACGCCAUGGCUAAAAUAGAAAAUAACCAAUAGACAAACAAUAAUACACAAACCACAACAUAGAAAAUCUAAAGACUGAGCAAUACGAGCCCCACCAAAUACUGGGGGUGAUUUCAGGGUAAGCAGAUCCUGAUCUUCAUGUGGCACUCGUCGUGUUGCUCAUGUUACUACAAACUCGGUAAUAAGUAAUUCGGUAGGUCACAAGUUAGCCUCUUGUUUAAUCAUUUUUAUUAUAAUUAGUUUUUGCAGAAAAUAUUGUUUUCGUUUGGAUAUUUUUGCAAAUUUCAUUUCGUUUCCUUCCAUUCUUAUUCCUUUCCCCUUUCCUAUUUUUUAAUCAAAAAUAAAAAUUUCAAACUUUCAAAAAAGCGAAAUGAUAAAAACUGUACGUUCAGUUUAGUGUUUUUAAAGUUUGCUUAAAUAUCUAAACUCCUAAAUUUUAAAACGAAGUUUAUAAUUUUAAAGUUUUAAUGAUUUGGUGAAAUUUUCAAAAGUAAAAAAAAGUGAUAAGUGUUACAAGGACCCUAAGGUUAUCUAUUCCUGAGGUAGAAUGUCCUGAGUAUUUUGAACAAUUCAAAGUUUUGUAUAAGAUAAUAUAACAAACAUGUCAAAAACGUUUAUAUCUCAUAUAACAAAAUUAUUUGUCCUCAACAACCAAAACUGACCAUAUUAGCACUUUAUUAUGUAAUGUUUUAUAGCUGCAUAGUAAAUGAGUUAUAUUUUCAUGUAAGGAUGGAUUGUAUAAUACAAAUUAUAGCAAUAUUAGAACAUAACGACUACAAAAAAAUAUUCUCCAUCAAUUUAGAGUACCAGCAUGUCCUAUUUUAAUUCAAAAUAUUGAAUUGUUAACAAAUUUUAGUAGUUUUCAUACCUCGAACUGACUCGUAUAACAAAAGUAUUUGUCCACAUCAACCAACACUGACCAUAUUAGCACCUGAUUAUGUAAAUCUAUACUGCCGCAUAGUUAAUGAGUUAUAUUUUCAUGUAAGGAUUGAUUGUAUAAAACAAAUUAUAGCAAUAUUGGAACAUAACGACUACAAAAAAUAUUCUGCAUCAAUUUAGAGUACUAGCAUGUUCUCUUUUUAUUCAAAAUAUUGAACCAUAAACAAAUUUCAGUAGUUUUCUUACCUCAGACUGACUCGUAUAUUAAAAUUAUUUGUUCGCAUCACCAAAACUGACCAUAUUAGCAAUUUAUUAAGUAAAUCUAUAUAACUGCAUAGUAAAUGAGUUAUUUUUUUCAUAUAUGGAUGGAUUGUAUAGUACAAAUUAUAGCAAUAUUGGGACAUAAUGACUAAAAAAGUUUUGUUCUCAACAAUUUAGAGUGCCAGCAUGUCCUCUUUUUAUUCAAAAUAUUGAAUCGUUAACAAAUUUCAUUAGUUUUCAUACCUCAAACUGACUUGUAUAACACAAUUUUUUGUCUGCAUUAACCAAAACUGACCAUAUUAGCCCUUUAUUAUAUAAAUCUUUAUAGACCCAUACUUAAUGAGUUAUUUUUUCAAUUCAGUCCCAACUUUUUGACUUUUUGCCAUAUCGUUAUCAGUUUAUAUCGACUUAUAGAAUGUGUCCCCGUGCCUUUUGUGUUUUCCCUCAUAUUUUACUAUUGUGGUUUUUUGCUUGUGAGAUAAAUAUUGUUGUUUAACACAUACGUACGUACAUCACAGUUCUACUAUCUGUCGAUACCUAUAUUUUGGCAUUACACAAGGUCCUGGUUUUUUUUUCUGACUGUGUUUUGACGUUAAUACACGCAGUCUAUUCGAUGUUGACGUGUACUAAUAGAUAUCAUAUAUCUUAGAUAUAUGAGUUUUUUAUUAGUUGUUGUCGUGCAAAAGACUAGAUCAACGAUUUGCGGAAUUUUUAAUUUAGCACAAUGAUAAUGUUUACCAUAAGAGAAUUAGGUUUAACAACUCGUGAUAAUUGGAUAUUGAUUGAUAUCAACUCUUGAUGUUUAAUUUUAAAUAGCAAUAAUAAACUCGCACAAGGCUCGUAAAUUAAUAUAUUGAAAAUAAAUAACUCGAGUUGAGAUCAAGCGAUAUCCCAUUCUAACUCGCUAUGAAACCUAUAGUUAUCAUUAAGUACAUUUAAAGACAAGUUUUCGACCUUUUGAUCGUGACUUUUUUUCUCUCCUCUAUAUUUUUAAUUAUAUUUAUUAACAAUAAACAUAGCAAACACCACACAAUAAAAUAUAGACUAUGAAUCAGAAACAUAUGUAUUUCAAUUUGUAUGUGUACUAAUAUGUCUCCAAAAUGUCUACCGUAAAUCAAUAUCGUUAUUUACACGUUUACAUGUAUGUCCCAUAGGUUUGACCAGAUAAGUCAAAAAAUCAAUAAUGACUCAUGUUCCCAAAGAGAUUAACCAGAUAAGCCGAAAAUCAAUAAUGAUUAAGUAAUUUGUUUACACAAUUAAAGAUUGAGGAUUUUUUAAGAAUAAAAAUAAACUGAAACUCAUUUGGGUUAGAUGUAAUUAAGGGAAAAUAUAAUACGCAAUAGUUUUAAUUAAAUUGAUAUAAGGGAUUCAGUGAAUACCGACUUUGAUGUAAAAUGGUACUUCCUACUCCAUUCUAUUUGCAACGUUUAUAAUCUGGUAUUUAGCUAAACCAUUAGAUAAAUGAUGUAAGCGGCAUACGCUAUUUCAAUUAAUUCAUGAAGUUCAUUCAAUGGAUAAACAGUAUUUUAAGACCCAUUUAAAUGAAUACUAAAGUUCAAUAGGCUAUUUGCCAAUUCCCAAAAUUGACCCUGUAAUUAGAGAUCCCUUUCUUAGUUGUCUCCCUUCUGGGGGACAUUAAUUUUUAUUUACAAUAGAGAGCUAACAGGAAGAGCAAAUUUACCUGAGCGUAAUGUAAGUAAUCUAUAAGGUUUUGAAAUCUUGUAAUUACAAUAAUAUGUUGUUAAGCUAAAUACUUUCGACAUCAGAAAUUGUUUUUCAUGAAAAAUUAGUUAAACCGCAGAUACAUCACUUUCAAUUCAUCAUGCUUUGCAUUGGCAAAGGCCAAUUUUGUCCGGUAUGGAACCAGUCUACUAUUGACAAAGGGAAGUAAUUUGUUUAAAAAAUGUGUAAUAACAGAAUCAAAUCGGUAAUUGGCAAAUGGACUAUUGGUUCUUAGAUAUAACAGAGUUUAAGUAUUGUAAAAAGUAAAUUAUUAAACAAGUACAAGCAUAUAGUUAUCAAUUAUGUCAUAUAGUAUGAUAAUUGUUAACCCUAUAAACAGUAUGCUAAUUCUUAAUCAUUGCUGAUAAUCCGACAUACCACAUGUAAAAUAAAUGAUGUGAAAAUGUUUUUAUAUUUUUUUUUAUUUUUUCCUAGAUAACAACCAGACCCGGGCAACAUAUACAUAAUAAAGUGUUGUAAGUACAUUGUGAAUGACCCUUCAAACCAUAGAGUAACAUAGAUAUAGGAAGAUGUGGUAUGGGUGUCAAUGAGACAACUAUCUAUCCAAAUAACAAUUUAUAAAAGUAAACCAUUAUAGGUCAAUGUACGGCCCUAUACACGGAGCCUUGGCUCACACCGAGCAACAAGCUAUGAAGGGCCCCAAAUUACUAGACGUGUAAAACCAACGGUCUAAUCUAUAUAGAAAAAAACGAGAAACGAGAAACACGUAUCAUACAUAAACAAACGACAACUACUGUACAUCAGAUUCCUGACUUAGGACAUUCUUCCUUUUUCUGAAACAAUA